UACAGAGGUCUCAAGCGUUGUUCGGAUUCAUUGGGCGUAAAGGGUGCGUAGGCGGCGCGGUAAGUCGGGUGUGAAAUCUCGGAGCUUAACUCCGAAACUGCAUUCGAUACUGCCGUGCUUUGAGGACUGGAGAGGAGACUGGAAUUUACGGUGUAGCGGUGAAAUGCGUAGAUAUCGUAAGGAAGACCAGUGGCGAAGGCGGGUCUCUGGACAGUUCCUGACGCUGAGGCGCGAAAGCGUGGGGAGUGAACAGG
rnacentral:rRNA from 1 species